GUGAUAUCUUUGAAUACAGUGAUACUAAUUUAGAUAAAUUAUAACACACAUAUUAAGAAAGGGUUAGAAAAACGUAGAAUUAUUUAGAAAUUUGGCAAAGCCGUUAAUUGGUAUAAUCAAUGAAUGCUGACAAUUGUCUAAAGCACAAAAAUUGUACAAGUAUUAGUAAGCACACCAGACGUGCAUGUAAAAAUUUUGCAUCCUCAACAUAUCUGUAAAGAAGCGUUUUUAUUAAAUGCCUUAGGAAAUAGCAAAAACAUAUUCCAGGAAAAACAACUUCAAGUGAACAUUGGAAAAUCGGUGACUAAAAGAUAGGCGGUAUUGAAUGGAAGAAUGCGUUAUGUUAUUUGUUUAAUGCACAAAAUUAUGAACAAAUGUGUUAUGAACAGAUAUUAAAAUACUAUUAAAACAUUUCAAAGAAGAAAUACAAGUUAAUUUUGUCACAAGCAAUAGACAAAUAAAUAAUUAUUCUACUAGGCCUAUUAAACCUCACCGAGCCUGUAAAUUACGUGAUUAACACUCACAUUUCAGCUCCUAUCACACAAUCGCGAGCUCCUAUUGCUAUUAAUAUUUACAAAUAGAUUUAUAUUGUAAUUAAAAAAAAAAAACUUUUUGAAAUAUCUGAUAUGCACAACUUUGUACCUAAAUAAAUAGAAUUGAUGAUCUUGUGAAAGGCAGAACAUGUGAUCUUAAAUUGAAAAGUGUUGUUUGGGCAAGGGCUAAAGAGGUGAAGGUAAAGUUUAAAAUAAAUAUAAACAUAUCACUCCAAUUCACAGUUCAGUAUGAUUUUUCCUAGGGUAUUGAAAUUUUACAGUCAACAUUUUGAAAUUCAACAUUUUCAAAAUGUAAAUGAUAGUCUACUUCUUUAGAACUAGGAACUUGUCCUAAGACAUAGGUGAGAAGCUUGAACCUUGAAUCAUCCAUUCAUAAAAUUUGAAAUUUAUUACAAAAAAGUUCUGGUUCAGUUAAUACGUUCUGGGUCCAUGUGUCAAUCGUCGAUUUAACAAUUUCUGUUACAUGAUUGCCUUGAGAGCGGCUUAUCCACCCACAAAAGUAAGUAUUUUAAUAUGGCAUAUUUAUUUAGAGAACUCAUUAAUAGAAUGUUCGAAUGUUCUGUUAUAAAAUUGGGCAUUUAAAACAGAAAAACAUUUUUUUUUUCGAUAAUAUGGACUUGUACCUCGGUCCUUGAAUUUUAUUUGUGCGUUGCGCUAUAGCCGUAAAGAAAAAAAUUCUCAACAGUUUCACCUUAGAUGUCGAGCCAAAUGCGGUGAGAUUGAUACUAUUGCAGUACGAACGACAUAGAACACCUCUGAACGGCUUCUAAAGAUCUGCAUUAAAAAUAAGACGGCGAAAAAGGAAAUGGUUUGACGGAGAAUGCGAGGAAGCGCUAAAGAUAAAAACUAAAAAACGACUGACAAUGCUGGCAAACCGUACAGAAGAGAACAAGGACGAAUUUUACAAGACAAGAAUAGAGACGAUACGAUUGCUUAGAACUAAAAGAAGAAUAACCUGGAACAACAAAUUCGGAAAUAGACAGAAAUAGAGAUAUGAAUCAAGUUCGGAAAUUCUAUAGGGAAGUAAACCGAGUAAGAAAAGGUUGAAGUGUUGCAGAAUGAAAAGCUAUGUUAAAUGUACUUUCAGGAUCGAGUUACUAAAUUUUGAGAGUGAGGCAGAAAAAGAAAACAUUAUCAUCAGUGUAGAUUUCGUGCUGGAAGGUCAACAAUAGAUCAAAUAUUUUCGAUCACGCAAAUCUGAGAAAAUAACUGACAGUUCAAUCGGGAUAUUCAACAAAUGUGGGUAAGGGGCGAAGGCUAAUAACAGCUAUAAAGGCGAGCCCAAAUGUCAACCUCAACUGCACGUGGUGCCCACUGCUAAAAACUAACGAGGCUCUGACGACCGAGAUACGGCGUAAUAUCCGUUUCACCCUUAAGUAAAUGUAAUUCCCACUCACCAACACGCCUGGCAAGCGUGGUGUUUUAAUGCCAACUCCUUUCAUAAAUGGAUAUGUCGAAAAUUAAAACAUGUAUACCCCAGGCGGGUAGAGGUGAAAACCUGGAAUCUCGCACUGAUACUUCAGUCAGCCCCGUGGAUUCUAGGGGGGGGGGGGCAAACUUUCGAUAGAUGGUAAGAGAAGAAGAAGCAAACUUGCUUGAAGAGACCCUUUACAUGGGGACGCACAAUAUCCGCACCAUAAGGCUGGAAGAACAUCUCAGCGGCCUAGAACACGAACUGCAGUACAUAAAGUGGGAUGUCAUAGGGAUCAGCAAUACAAGACUGAGCGGCGAAGCGGUCACUAUUCUCAAAUCUGGACAUUUACUGUUCCAAAAGAACUCGGACACAAACUCAGAUAUCAAAGGCAUUGCUUUACUGGUUCACAAAAAGUAGAAACACCUGCUUACAAAGACAGGAGCCGCGUUAAACAGAGUAAUUUAUGUAAUAAUCAAGAUCAACGCAAUGUUUAGUAUCCAAAUCAUCCAAGCAUAUGCACCCACUUCUGCCUCCUCAGACGAAGAAAUCGAAGAAUUCUAUAAAGAUCGAACAACUGCAAAGAGCGCAGAAAACCCCAAAAUCUGUGUGAUAAUAGGCGAUUUCAACGUGAAGAUUCGAGCCAGAUUGCCGAUGGAUUCCUUCACCGGUAAAUAGGGUUUGGGAGCUAGGAACCAAAGGGGACAAACCAUAAUCGACUUCCGCAACAAGCAGAGGCUCUACUGCAUGAAUACCUUCUACAAAAAGCACCCGAAAAGAAAAUGGACUUGGAAAAUCCCCGAUAACAGGAUCAAAAAUGAGUUAAACCAUGUUCUAACAUCGAACCCCCAAUUAUGCUCAGACGUGUCAAUAAUAAACCGCUUGGACACAGGCAGCGACCACAGAUGAGUCAGAACCAGGAUCCAGACAUCGACACCAGAGAAAACCUCUAGUAGAAAGAAAGAUACGGCCAACCACAAGUGAACUACGAGAGAAAGCAGAAGAAUUCAGUAAGCAAAUUGACAAGAAGCUACACCCAAUUGAAGAUACGCGAAACAUGGAACUAAACGCACUCGCAACGAAGAUCACCUCUAGUAUUAAAAGCGCAGUGCGGAAAGUAUGUACUUUCCAAAGUAAGAAACAUCCGAAAUUCAGUUUAGAAAUAGAACAACUCAUUGAAGAACGAAGGAAAACCGACAAAAACUCACUAAGGUAUGGGGAUCUGAAUAAGAUCGUGAAGAAGGCCAUCAAGAAAGAUCAGAGAGCUUAUAAUGAACAACAUACAGAAGAAGAAAACAUGAUAGUUCUCCGUUCCUAGAAAUCUGAAGGUAAAAUUAUUAUUUAGAAGAUAAAAAACGAUCAAGGACUCAUUGAGAGUGACAGAGGAAAGAUAGCAGAAAUUAUUGAGAUAUUCUAUCGACGACUGUCCAUCGGUGGACAACCAAAUCAAGAAGGCCAAAUUCAUCAGCCAGUCCUAAACGUAGGAUCAGAGGAAUUAGCGCCCAUUGAUGGGGAAGAACUAGUGGCAGCGCUAAAACACCUGAAGAACUUCAAAGCCCCGGGAGUAGACCAGAAUACCAGUGAUAUGUUGAAGGCCGGCGGAGAGACACUCAGGAAUGCACUCCUGAUCUUACUUAAUAAAUGUCUAGAAAAAGAAAAAAUCCCGAACUCUUAGAAAACGUAAAAGUCAUCCUAUGAUUCAAGAAAAACGAUUACACAAUCUAGAGAAUUUCAUUCCCAUCAGCAUGUUAUCCAUCCUCUACAAAGUACUAACUAAAAUAAUAACGAACCGCCUGAGCUAUAAAUUCUACUUUUACCAGCCAGUCGAACAGGCGGGUUUCUUCAGAAAGGGGUACAUUUACGAAUAACAUGAUCAUAUACAAGCAGUACGCUCGUUAGUAGAAAAAUGCACGGAAUACAACAUCGCACUGCACAUGGCCUUCGUCGACUAUCAGCUUUCGAUUCGAUCGAAAUCUGGGCAAUACUGGAUGCGAUGAAUAACGCUCGCAUAGAUUACAGAUACUGGAACAUCAUACGAUAUAUCUACAAACAUGCCACCAUGCACAAAAAAAUUGAAGACAAAUGGAUUACUGCAAAAGUCGCAGUACAGCGAGGUGUCAGGCAAGGGGAUACAAUCUCACCACAGUUCUUCACCAUAGCAAUGGAGAACGCAUUUAAAUGCCUAUCAUAGGAUCAGAGAGUCAUAGUAAGGAAUUUAAGUACCUGGGUAUUUAUGAAUGACCGUCUAGUAGAAAAAUAUGUCGUCUCAGCACGAAUAGUGGUGGGAAAAGGGGCGUUAUAGCCUCUCACAACAAUAUUGAAAUCUAAUAUUUAAGAGAUAAUCCAUACUAACUUCCUACAGGUCAAUAAUUCGUCCGGUUCUUGUGUUUGAAAGAAAAGUGCUCAGAAUGAUAUUUGGACCCAAUACAGAUAAAACAACAGGAGUGUGGAAAAGACGCCACAAUGCUGAAUUCACGACAAUCUAUGGCAGUGAAAAGAUAGUCAGGCACAUAAAAGCUAACCGAAUAAGAUGGGCACCUCAUGUAGAAAGAUCAGAGGGCAACAAACAGGUUGAUAAAAACAGUAUUCCUUGACAUACCAGAUGGCAGAAGAUCAAUAGGUAGAUCCAUAAAUAGAUGAAAGGAUGCCUGUCGCAGCAGUUCUAUCUAGGAUGGGAGUCCAGCGAUGACAAGUGAAUCUCACAAGAUCGUAGGAGAUGGAGACCAAUAGUGGCUGUGGCUAAGACUCACUCAGAGUUGGAAAGCCAGGAAAGAAGAAGAAUAUUAAAAAUUUAUCUGGACAGUCAUGAGCAAGGCAUAUGUUACAAUUCUUAUGAAAAUUAUACUAUAAAAAACGUUUUCGAAAGCUGAUUAAAAUGGCCUUGCGAGUAUACCUUACCACCUUCUUUCAUGCAUUUUGGCAUUUCUCAGCUACAUCUUUAGAAUCUCUAUAGAGUAGCGUCUCACCCAUAUAAUUUUCACUUUAUGUCGUAUUAAUGUCGUAAUGUUAAUGAAGCAGAUUAUCUUUAAAUCGUUGUUGCAUAAUUUCCGAUAUAGUUUUUUGCAAAUAUUUCAGUUUUUGAUAAGAAGAUGCAAAUAGCUCCAUUGUUUGCUACUUUUCCUCUACUCCUAAAACACCACCAAACCACACCCCUAAAGGAAUGACGCCCAUUUUGGAUGCCCCUGUAUAUCUAACUGUAUUGGUUUUCCUA